UCAAAUACAAUUGGAUAAAUUUGCGAAAAAAAGGCGUUUGCGCCGAAAAUCAGUACAUUUCAUUGAAAAAUCAGUAUAUCAGAACGGGGGUGUAAAAAUCAGUACGCGUACUGAUAAAAUCAGUACAUCUGGUAACCCUAUCUUAUGCAAGGCUUAUUUCCAUCCAUAUGAAAAAAGUCAUUUAUAAUUCCUUUAUAUAAGAGUGAAUUUAGGUCAUCCAUUGAAAACUAUAGAGAAAUAGCAAAGAUGUCAGCAAUACCUAAACUUUUCGAAGCAAUUAUAACAGACAACAUAACCUUCCCGAUCUCUCCACUAAUUUCUUGUUCUCGGCACGGUUUUCGUAAAAGGAACUAAUUUGCUUGAAAUUGUAUCACAUGUAUCAACGAGCUUUAAGCCGGAUUCAUCGUUCUUGUCCAGACAACUUUUGUUGGAAAUUUUACACGUUCUUUUCCCACUUUGUCUCAGUGAGAGCGUAACCAAAAUGUGCUGAACUCUCUUUGUUCGAAUCAAUUUGAUUUUGAUUUUCUGUCCGGACAACUUGAUGAUCAGGACUGCCAUUACUCAUGUUUUUGUAAUUUUCAGCCAAAUUGGAUGUACGAUUUGGAAUAAAAACUACAAAUUUACAUGUAGGCAACCAUGUAAACCAUUGUCAGCUGUUGUCAUCUUUCAUCAAAAGGUCGCAAUGUCUUCGCCGGCUGGACAAAGUAAUUACAAUUUAUUAAGCAUUUAAUUAAAGUCAAUCGUUUUCAGAUUUUGCGUUGCUCAAAAAGCUUUUUUCAGAAAUGCGAAAGGAAAAGUACAAAAAGAGUACUAAAUAAUAAGCUUAAGCAAAUAGCUUGGGGUGAAAUCGCGGACGCACUUGAAUUGCCAAAGGAUGAAGUGCAAGUGCUGUGGAAACGCACCCGAAAUAAAUUUAAAAACGAGCUUGCCAGCAGUAACGCCCCAAGUGGAAGCGCGAGACGAGUACAAAAGCAGAUGGAUACUUUUUUGUUAUCAGAAAUGGAAUUUUUACGGAAAUAUGUAGAAGAUGAGAAACCAACAACUACAAACUACACUGGCAUGCAAGAACUUUUUGACGAAAUGGCCGGAGAUCCUGAAGUCAUAAGCUCCUCCAUGGAUGAAUCUUCAUCUACCCCAACAUUUAAACACAAGAAGCCAAAACAUGGAACUUUUGACACCGAAAUGCAAACAGCCUUGCAAAAACUGAUUACCUUAGCAUCAGGUAUUUUAAGUGCGCCACAGGAUCCUUUCUAUUUAUAUUUUCAAUCAGAAAUGGAAAAAUUACCAGAGAAUGUCAAAUCUGAGCUCAAAUCUGAAAUAAUGCAAAAAAUAUUUCAAGCUCAAAAAAUGUAUUUGUAAUUUUUGUAUAUGUAUUUGUAUUUUAUUUGCUAAUCACCAAAAUAAAGACAGUUAACUUAGUUUGGAAGUGUUUAUUCAAAUGCAAUUUCAUAUAUUUUCUGGCAAGUUUUUGAAAUAAUUUGUAUACAUUCUCCUUACUACAAUAGCAUCUUGAGAUGCAUGGUUACUGUGAGAAGACAUCACUGGUUGCACAAAACUUUGCAAAAUGGGUUUCUG